rnacentral:lncRNA from 1 species
CUAGACCCAGAGCUUUAAGUUCGACUGGAGGGGCUUCUAGAACGCACUGCUGGGGGCCUCAAGAAGCCCAAUGACCUUUAAAACAAUGUGAUAAUCAGCUGGGCGGGACGGCUGCCAAAGACCAUCCUGCUAAUCCUAGGUUCUGUUUUCCCUGCCUCUGGUUGCCAGGGAAACAAGCGAAGAGGACCGCAGCCAGAGAGCUGUUAGCUGCCUUUUUAAGGCGCCCUGGACAUAAACAGCACUUUCCAUAAUGGAAGCUGGGCACGGAGGCUUAAAAAAACCAAAACAAUACAGAAGAGGAGGCUAAAGUGGGAAACAGUCGGGGUGGGGUCCCCACCAGGUUAAUGGGAGAGUAAAAGAAGAAAUAAA